rnacentral:rRNA from 1 species
AAAAUAUAAAAUCUAAUGGGGAUGAGUAAAAUUGAAUAGAAUCCUAGUUAAAAAAGUGCGAAAGCAACUUUGGUCCACAAUUAUCCGCUCAUCUAUCACAAUUGUUGAAUGUGUCGUGUACAUUCAAGUUGAUUACGGAUACGGAGAAUUAGGGUUUGAUUCCGGAGAGGGAGCAUGAGAAAUGGCUACUACAUCUAAGGGUGGCAGCAGGCGCGAAAAUUGCCCAAUAUUGACUUAAUGAGGCAGUGACAAAAAAUAACAAUACGAACGCAUAAUUAUGUGAUUGUAAUUGGAAUGAGAACAAAAUAUAAAAUUUAACGAGAUACAAGAAGAGGGCAAGUCUGGUGCCAGCAGCCGCGGUAAUACCAGCUCUUCUAGCAUAUAUUAAAAUUGCUGCAGUUAAAACGCUCGUAGUUUGAAUGUAAGGGGUUGGGAAGAAAUGGGUGAAGCGUGGUACGGAACAGGUGAAAGCCUGGGCUGGCUGCGUUUUUUUAAGCCUGUUCUCGCUCGAUCCAAUGUGGUGUAAAAGCCGCGACAAGUUGGGGCCAGAUGUAGGGUUAAGUCUCUCAUCUCCCCUUUUAACCAUGAAUAAAUUUUAUUGCUCAAAGAAGGACGUAGGUCCAUUGAGAAUUCAGCAUGGGAUUAUGAAAUAGGAAGGGGGCCGGAUGGGACUCGCUUGUCGCAAGGCAAGUUAUGGGGCUUGUCCGCGUUCCCCCUUAAUGGUUAAUGAGGACGAUGCGUGGAAGUUCAUAUUAAGCUGUCAGAGGUGAAAUUCUUGGAUUACUUUAAGAUGAACAUCAGCGAAGGCAUCCUUCAAGUGCGUGCCUGUCAAUCAAGAACGAAAGUUGGGGGAUCGAAGACGAUCAGAUACCGUCGUAGUCUCAACAGUAAACUAUGCCGACUAUGAAUUGGAUAUCGUUUUAUGUAGUUUUUUGGGCAGUGGGUUCGUCCCUUGCCUGCUACAGAUGACUUCUCCAGCGCAUUACAAGAAAUUAAGAGUUUUUGGGUUCCGGGGGGAGUAUAGUCGCAAGGCCGAAACUUAAAGGAAUUGACGGAAGGGCACCACCAGGUGUGGAGCCUGCGGCUUAAUUUGACCCAACACGGGGAAACUUACCAGGUCCAAACAGCGUGAGGAUUGACAGAUUGAUAGCUCUUUCAUGAUUCGUUGGGUGGUGGUGCAAGGCCGUUUUUAGUUGGUGGUGUGAGUUGUCUGGUUGAUUCCGUUAACGAACGAGACCUUUGUUGUAUAAUAGGAGGCACUAGUAUGAGCGCUAAAGGGACGUUGUGGACUUGCUGGGUCGCGAGCAAUCGCCCUGGCAAGCAUUCAUGCGUUCCUGCUGAGCUAGUGUCAGUUUCCUUCUAUACAAGACAAAUACAGAAAAUGUAUUGGAAGUUAUAGGCAAGAACAGGUCUGUGAUGCCCUUCGAUGUUCUGGG